rnacentral:rRNA from 1 species
AGAGUUUGAUCAUGGCUCAGAACGAACGCUGGCGGCGGGGUUUAGGCAUGCAAGUCGCGGGAGAACGCCUUCGGGUUAGUACACCGGCGGAAGGGUGAGUACAAGUUCGUUAACGUACCCUGAGGACGCGGAUAAUUGACCGAAAGGUCUUGUAAUACGCGAUGGGACCACGGUUUCUUUGGAGACUGGGGUGAAAGGGCGGGGAUCCUGCGGGACCCGCUGCCUGAGGAGCGGACGAACUCCGAUUAGCUAUACCGUAGGGUAACGGCCUACGGUGGCGAUGAUCGGUAGCCGGCCUGAGAGGGUGGACGGCCACACUGGGACUGAGACACUGCCCAGACUCCUACGGGAGGCUGCAGUCGCGAAUCAUUCACAAUGGACGCAAGUCUGAUGAUGCCACGCCGCGUGCGGGAGGAAGGCCUUCGGGUUGUAAACCGCCGUUGCAAAGGGGGAAGGAUGUACGGUUAAUGGCCGUGCAUUUGACUGCCUUUAUGAGGAAGCCCCGGCUAAACACGUGCCAGCAGCCGCGGUAAUACGUGUGGGGCAAGCGUUGUUCGGAAUCACUGGGCAUAAAGGGUGCGUAGGCGGUCGCGUAAGUCAGGGGUGAAAGGCAAGGGCCCAACCGUUGCUCUGCCUCUGAAACUACGCGUCUCGAGUGUGCUAGGGGUGAGCGGAACGAGUGGUGUAGCGGUGAAAUGCGUAGAUAUCACUC